AUGGGAGAGGUUUGUAUCUUUCAUGGAAAGGAAGGGUCCCCCUUCGUUCGAGUCCACCAUUGGAUCAUCAAUCACAUAGGUUUUAAAACGAUCCAAACUACAUUUAUCUACCUCACAUAUUUCAAAGCAAUCCAUGGAUGGUCCAACAAUGAAUUUGAGUGAAGGAAAGGUAAUCCUUCUUUCGUACGAAAGAUGCAAUCCAUUCC
rnacentral:lncRNA from 1 species